GACGAACGCUGGCGGCGUGCUUAACACAUGCAAGUCGAGCGAGCAGAUUCCCUUCGGGGAUGAAGCUAGCGGCGGACGGGUGAGUAACACGUGGGCAACCUGCAUUAUAGAGGGGGAGAGCCUUCCGAAAGGAAGAUUAAUCCCGCAUAACAUCAGAUUAUCGAAUCGUAGACGGAUCAACGGAGCAAUCCGCUAUAAGAUGGGCCCGCGUCGCAUUAGCUAGUUGGUGAGGUAACGGCCCACAAAGGCGACGAUGCGUAGCCGACCUGAGAGGGUGAUCGGACACAUUGGGACUGAGACACGGCCCAGACUCCUACGGGAGGCAGCAGUGGGGAAUAUUGCACAAUGAGGGAAGCCCUGAUGCAGCAACGCCGCGUGAGUGAUGAAGGCCUUCGGGUUGUAAAGCUCUUUGAUCAGGGACGAUAAUGACGGUACCUGAAGAACAAGCCACGGCUAACUACGUGCCAGCAGCCGCCGUAAAAC
rnacentral:rRNA from 1 species